GUCCCUGUAGAAAUGAAUAGCGCGCGUUGGACUUCUUAUCCAAAGGUCGAGGGUUCGAACCCCUCCAGGAAUG